rnacentral:misc_RNA from 1 species
UUGAACGAAAAGGGUGGCAAGGCUGUCGCUGGCUUGAAUGAGCAUGUGCACGUCUUUUGCUGCUGAUUUCAUUCUAUUUCCACCUGUGCACUUUUUGUAGACACUUGGGAAUGAGAGGUUGAAUUGAUUGACUUCUUGAUAGUGAAAAGUCUGGGUGUCUAUGCAUUUUUAUAUACACAGUUGCAUGUCUAUAGAAUGAUGUUGUAGGCUUUUUGUAAGCCUUUAAAUGAUAAAGUA